rnacentral:rRNA from 1 species
GGCGUGCUUAACACAUGCAAGUCGAACGAUGAUGCCCACUUGUGGGUGGAUUAGUGGCGAACGGGUGAGUAACACGUGAGUAACCUGCCCUUGACUCUGGGAUAAGCCUGGGAAACUGGGUCUAAUACCGGAUAUGACCUUCCAUCGCAUGGUGGUUGGUGGAAAGCUUUUGUGGUUUUGGAUGGACUCGCGGCCUAUCAGCUUGUUGGUGGGGUAAUGGCCUACCAAGGCGACGACGGGUAGCCGGCCUGAGAGGGUGACCGGCCACACUGGGACUGAGACACGGCCCAGACUCCUACGGGAGGCAGCAGUGGGGAAUAUUGCACAAUGGGCGCAAGCCUGAUGCAGCGACGCCGCGUGAGGGAUGACGGCCUUCGGGUUGUAAACCUCUUUCAGUAGGGAAGAAGCGAAAGUGACGGUACCUGCAGAAGAAGCGCCGGCUAACUACGUGCCAGCAGCCGCGGUAAUACGUAGGGCGCAAGCGUUAUCCGGAAUUAUUGGGCGUAAAGAGCUCGUAGGCGGUUUGUCGCGUCUGCCGUGAAAGUCCGGGGCUCAACUCCGGAUCUGCGGUGGGUACGGGCAGACUAGAG